CCUGAACGCUGGCGGCGUGGCUAAGACAUGCAAGUCGUACGGGCGUAGCAAUACGUCAGUGGCGAACGGGUGAGUAAUGUAUCGCUAACGUGCCCCCGAGUCAGGGAUAGCUGCCCGAAAGGGCAGGUAAUACCUGAUGAGACCACGACCGGGCAUCCGGUUGUGCUACAAAGCAGCAAUGCGCUCGAGGGAGCGGGCGAUAUCGUAUCAGCUAGNGGUGAGGUAACGGCUCACCAAGGCGACGACGCGUAGCCGGACUGAGAGGUUGGCCGGCCACAUUGGGACUGAGACACGGCCCAGACUCCUACGGGAGGCAGCAGUGGGGAAUA
rnacentral:rRNA from 1 species